rnacentral:rRNA from 1 species
GGGGGAGCAAGCGUUGUCGGAUUACUGGGCGUAAAGGGCGCGUAGGCGGCCACCGCAAGUCAGUUGUGAAAUCUCUGGGCUUAACCCAGAAAGGUCAACUGAUACUGCGGGGCUAGAGUGCAGAAGGGGCAACUGGAAUUCUCGGUGUAGCGGUGAAAUGCGUAGAUAUCGAGAGGAACACCUGCGGCGAAGGCGGGUUGCUGGGCUGACACUGACGCUGAGGCGCGAGAGCUAGGGGAGCGAACGGGAUUAGAUACCCCGGUAGUCCUAGCCUUAAACGAUGAAUGCUUGGUGUCUGGGGUUAUAUAGUCCCCGGGUGCCGUCGCUAACGCUUUAAGCAUUCCGCCUGGGGAGUACGGUCGCAAGACUG